AGGGAUCAUUACCGAGUUUACAACUCCCAAACCCAAUGUGAACCAUACCAAACUGUUGCCUCGGCAGGGUCACGCCCCGGGUGCGUCGCAGCCCCGGAACCAGGCGCCCGCCGGAGGGACCAACCAAACUCUUUCCUGUAGUCCCCUCGCGGACGUUAUUUCUUACAGCUCUGAGCAAAAAUUCAAAAUGAAUCAAAACUUUCAACAACGGAUCUCUUGGUUCUGGCAUCGAUGAAGAACGCAGCGAAAUGCGAUAAGUAAUGUGAAUUGCAGAAUUCAGUGAAUCAUCGAAUCUUUGAACGCACAUUGCGCCCGCCAGUAUUCUGGCGGGCAUGCCUGUCCGAGCGUCAUUUCAACCCUCGAACCCCUCCGGGGGGUCGGCGUUGGGGAUCGGGAACCCCUAAGACGGGAUCCCGGCCCCGAAAUACAGUGGCGGUCUCGCCGCAGCCUCUCCUGCGCAGUAGUUUGCACAACUCGCACCGGGAGCGCGGCGCGUCCACGUCCGUAAAACACCCAACUUCUGAAAUGUUGACCUCGGAUCAGGUAGGAAUACCCGCUGAACUUAA
rnacentral:rRNA from 1 species